rnacentral:tRNA from 1 species
UCCAGGGUAGUUCAGAGGUAGAACGCGUGACUGUUAAUCACGAUGUCGAUGGUUCGAUCCCAUCCCCUGGAGCCA